CACUAAAAUACCGGUUCCCAUAUGAUCAUCAAAGUUAAGCAACAUUAUGCCUAGUCAGUAUGUAGAUGGGUGACCACUUGGGAAUAACAGG